GAGAGGUCAUGGAGAACCAAGCAAACCUUCUUCUUGCCAUGCAAAGAGUGUUAACUUGGGACUUUGGCCAUUGGGCUCUGGGUCAGUGAGCCCCCUUAGCCCUCCAGAUGGAGUAUGCAGCAGGAGGAAUCUGUACUUUGGGAAAAGUGAAGUCCCGCGUGGAGAUGUAUCACUGAGGCUAGCUUUCUUCAAGAAUUCCCCAAUAACGUGACAAGCUUUCUGGAGUCAAUAUCACUUGAAAACAACAAGGACCUCGGGGAGGAAAUGUACCUCUGAAAGUUCAUGCGCGGACGUGCACCGUCUCGUCCCCCUGGACACGCGCUCACUGCCUUAUCUGAAUCCACACAGAAUCGUAACCCCACGAAGGUGGAGACCUCCGCGGCAUGGAAUGCAAUCACUUGAUUUUACAGAAGAGCAAACUGACAUCCAGAGACCAUAAAUAGCAACCUCAGGUCAGCCAUCUGCUUGGAGGGAGGGGCUCCCCGCUCCUUUGCUCCACAUGGGGGUUCCCUGUGCCCCCUCCCAGCAGGUGGCCAGUGACUGUGUAGGAAGCUGCUCCCUGGGAAGGGCUUUCUGUAUCCUUUCAAGCUGCUGCAGCAGGAGGGACCUGGAGGAUAUUAGGAUGGACAGCACGCACCAGAUACAAAAGAACAAAUGCUGUGCUAGCUCGCCUGCAAGGUGUGCUGGAGAAAUCAUGGGCACUGAAAUUAAAAAAAAAAAAAAAGUUACAGCGGAAGGCACAUUUCUAUGAGUA